UACGUAGGGGGCAAGCGUUGUCCGGAAUCAUUGGGCGUAAAGCGCGUGUAGGCGGCCAGAUAAGUCCGCUGUGAAAUCUCGAGGCUCAACCUCGAGCUGUCGGUGGAAACUGUCUGGCUAGAGUCCGGAAGAGGAGAAUGGAAUUCCUGGUGUAGCGGUGAAAUGCGCAGAUAUCAGGAAGAACACCCGUGGCGAAGGCGGUUCUCUGGGACGGUACUGACGCUGAGACGCGAAAGCGUGGGGAGCGAACCGG
rnacentral:rRNA from 1 species